rnacentral:lncRNA from 1 species
CCGAACCGCCCGAGAGCCGCGAUUGCAGCUUCCCGACAACUUCGAGCACCGACUCCGCCAUGUUUACUGCUGGCGCAGGGGGGGGGCUCUUCACGGCGGAAGUGGCGGCGGCUUCGCCUCCUACCCAGGAGGCCGCGCGGCUUCUCGCUCCGCUCAGUCGCUGGCGGACGGCUUCGCCGCCAUCUUUGUUCCGGGCCGGGGAAAGGGAGGGGGAGAAAAUUCCAUAGGUGGAAAUGGCAGCGCGACUCGCUCUUUUUCGGGGAUUGCGCCGCCAUGUUUGAAGCUGGCAAAGGCUUCACGGGUGAGGGAGGAUCCCACCAGAUCGUUCUGCUGCAUGUGGAGAUGAACCUCAGUAAUGGUUAUACUAGGAGUCUGGCAAGGAGGAGCUGUUGUCUUCGAGUCCAUUCCAGAGUUGCCUCUUUGAUCAGACAGAAUCAGGCAGCCACCUCAGCCAAGCUGAUAAGGACCGUCAGGAAGGCAGAAAGCCAUUUAUAUACGUAUAUAUUUACUGCCAUGAACAGGAGGUGAUUGUUGCAGGAUGUUCUACCAAAAUGUUUUUGGGUACUACAAACGUCUGUAGCUACGAAGGAACGAGAGAAGAUCUUCAAGAGUAAUGUUGCAUCACCAGAGACCCAGACCAAAAACUAUCUGUACUAUGAUAUCCCUCAGUACUAUAUAUGGAUGUGAAAGGUGGAUUGUGAAAAUACGCAGUUUGUUUCAAGCGUGCUGUUCACUGAGACGCUUGCAUUUUGAGAGUAUGAUAAGAUAAGGCUCCCUGAAAAAGCUGCAGUAGGAAAAGCAGAAGACUGGACCUGAGAUUGAUUGAUUCAGUGAAAGAAGUUGCAGCAUUGAGUUUGCAAGAUCUGAACAAUGUUCAUGACAAUGCCUUCUAGGUAGCCUUGUUUGUUUAAAGUAUUUUUAUCUUGCCUUUCUCCUUAAAAAGAACCCAAGGCGGCUUCCAUCGUUCAAAACACAAUAUUUAAAAGCUAAAAAUGGUAGGCAUACAAAUAUUCAAAAAGAAUUAAACAGGUAUACAUUCAAAACAAUGUGGACAUGUUGGUGCUGUGGGUUAAACCGCAGAAGCCUCUGUGCCGCGAGGUCAGAAGACUAGCUGUCGUAAGAUCGAAUCCAUGCGCCGGAGUGAGCUCCUGUCGCUUGUCCCAGCUCCUGCCAACCCAGCAGUUCGAAAGCAUGUAAAAAUGCAAAUAGAUAAAUAGGAACCACCUCGGUGGGAAGGUCACGGCUAGUCGCGCUGGCCACGUGGCCACGGAAACGGUCUAUGGACAAACGCUGGCUCCAUGGGUUCGAAACGGGGAUAAGCACCACGCCCUAGAGCCGGACAUGACUGCGAAACGGGGAUAAGCACCGUGCCCUAGUGCCGGACACGGGGAACCUUUGCCUUUACCACAUUCAAAAUAGUAAUAAAGAGCACAACAAUCCAUUCA